AUCCCCCGAGGGGCCGACGUGGUUCCCUCUCCUUAGACCAUCCAGGCCCGCAGGCCUGGAGCUAAUGGUGGGGAAAGGGGGCUCCAGGAGCUGAGGAGGAGCAGAGCCAGCGGAUGGAGGCGGAAGUCCGGCAGAUCUCAGGCAGCAGAGGAUGACUGAGCGCCCCGUCUGGGCUACGCAGCUGCUCCAUGUGCCAGAGAGAUCCCGUGAACAGGACCAAGUCCCUGCCCUCAUGGAGGGAACAUUCCAGAAGUGUGCCACAGGGUCAAAGGUGAAUCCAAACCACAGGCAAGUACUUUCCCAAGGCAGGGAGAUGGACAGAACCGAGUGUGGUCCACUGUGGGGUCCAUCCUGCCUGGGCUGGGUGGGUCACCAGGGAGUGGCCCCACAGAGGUCUGCAGGCUCCUAAGGAAGGAGCCAAACGCAGGAUCAAAGCGAGGGGUGCCUGGCCAAGGGCAGUGGGUCCUGCCAGACCACGGGGUCUUCUCCCUACAGGAGGGAAAUUUGGCAGGCGGCUUUUAGGAAUCCCAUGAACCUUUGGGGUUUGUGGAUGAACCAGGGGAGGAGCAGUCCCCGAGAGUGUGAGCAGAGUUUUCUGCUAACCUAACAAGUUCGGAAGGGUCACAACUGAGCGGCUGGGGGUCCAUCCUGUCCCCAGCAUGGCCAGAUCUGCAAACAGGAGACAUCAUAUGGUGGCCUGGGAGGCAAGGGCAUCUGAGUCAGAGGUACAGGUGUAAUCUGAAGGUGGACUGGCCCCCAUCCUGCCGGCUCCCUGUGGUCCAGAGUUGGAGAAAGCCCCUUGGACCAGAGCCUUCCCACACUUGGUCCUGUGUCAGGUAGGAGAUUUGCAGGAGGCCGUUUCUGCUCUUCCAGAGCCCAGACGGACUUCCCUGGGGUGGUGGGAGCCAAGGCAUGGAAUCGCAGUCGCCUCCCAGGUGCAGGGCCCUGGGUGGAGCUGCUGGCUGCAGCCAGGGACAGGGAGCAGAGAUGCCCCUCUGCCAGCCUGCCCCGCCCCAGGCAGUGAAGAAACUCCAAGCUCUGGGCCCGUGGGAGGCACCAGGCGAACAGAGGAGUUGGCAAGCUAAACAUGCUAUUAGCAGCGAUGGAGAAGUGACGAUUAUCUGCACAGCUGUCAGAAGCAGCUCUCCGCCGCCUGGCACUAGCACCUGGGGAGGGGCUGCCACUCAUCAGACUUCACAGAGAUGCCCCAGACUGGGAAAGAAAGACCGGCAAGCUGGACAUUCUGUGCCACCACUCGCUCGUCCUUAGCUGCAGGGAUCUCGCCCUUCAUCCAGAGGCUGAGACCUGGAAGCGAGGCCCACCUCCGCACCUGCCCCGGUAGCUGGGCCUUCGUUCCUCAGACUAAUGAAAUUGAGGCUCAAGAGGUUACACGAUUUGACCAAGUCACACAACUGCAAACAAGGAGGUGUGGGUUUCCAGGAUCGAAGCCAGGAGGAAGCUCAAAGAGCAUCCAGCCCCCAUGCUGUAAAAGGGAUUCAAGACCCAGAAACAGAAGGUGAUUAGCCUCGCCGCAGGACACAGGGCAGACAGCACUCAAGCCCAGCUCUGCUCGCUCUGCUGGGAGCACUUGCCAGGCCACUGUGGAUCUGGGCCUCGUCCUCAGCUCGGGGUGGCUGCAGGAGCAUGCUGAGGAAUGAACCCAUGCCACAGCACUGAAGAUGUCCCCACCAUCCCUGCCGCAGGCUCUCCACCCAGGUCUCUUCAUCUCAAAGGGGUUGUCACAGAGGCCCAGGGCUGUGGCCUGGAGGAACACACUCCAUCUUCCUUGACAUCUAGCCCAUGUAUCACUCUGAUGGUAGAAAGACGGGUUCCAGAGUCUGCUCAAGUCACAGUGUGCAGAGCAGCGAAGGAUCCUGCUUGGCACAAGGCAGGGGCACCUCUCAAAGCCUCAUGCGCUGCCUGGUGCCCUUCACACCCCAAGGCCUUCCAGGAUGCUUUGAAUUUGGUCUUCUCAGCCCUGCCGCUGCCCCACUUGUGGGAAGAAAGAUGGACUGGGAGGCCUGUAGAUGGAAGCAGAGCCCGACUCUGAGAGCCGAUUGCCCAUCCUGCAGCUGUGAACGUCGCAGCUUCCAGCAGGUUCUUGCUGCAGACUUGCUGAGAGGACUGAGUGCUGUGGCAGGCCACCCCAGCCUGCUGGGCACCCCUCCGAGAUGGCCCCCACAAAUAGUAAAUAAAUGCCCUACUCCCAGGCC